rnacentral:rRNA from 1 species
UGGGGAAUAUUGGACAAUGGGCGCAAGCCUGAUCCAGCCAUGCCGCGUGAGUGAUGAAGGCCCUAGGGUUGUAAAGCUGUUUCACCGGUGAAGAUAAUGACGGUAACCGGAGAAGAAGCCCCGGCUAACUUCGUGCCAGCAGCCGCGGUAAUACGAAGGGGGCUAGCGUUGUUCGGAUUUACUGGGCGUAAAGCGCACGUAGGCGGACUUUUAAGUCAGGGGUGAAAUCCCGGGGCUCAACCCCGGAACUGCCUUUGAUACUGGAAGUCUUGAGUAUGGUAGAGGUGAGUGGAAUUCCGAGUGUAGAGGUGAAAUUCGUAGAUAUUCGGAGGAACACCAGUGGCGAAGGCGGCUCACUGGACCAUUACUGACGCUGAGGUGCGAAAGCGUGGGGAGCAAACAGG